UCUGUGGUCACAGUCUCCUACUGUGACAUCUGUAACAGUAUUUUUGUCUCUUUGGAUACCUAAGAAUGCACUUUUUAAACUUAGAAUCAUCAAAAGCUCUGCACCAUGGAAGGUGGAUGCCCCCCCCUACAGUAGUCACUUACCGCGUCUCACCAAUAAGUUUGACUCCCUAUUAUAAAAUCCUAGCUAAAAGCCUGAUGCAUCCUGUAUCAGUGUAUGUUAUCCCGGACAGAAAAGGUGCCGCAGGGCUUGUAGUCGUUCUCAGCUCGGCGUAGCGUGGGCCAGCUUGACUUAAUUGACCGGGCUGUGUGCGGCUUGUCAUGAUUGUCACUAGGGCUCCCGGCUCCUGUAAUCUGGCUCUAAAUGGUUUGAAAUUAACUAUUCUACCCGCAAAAGUCAAUACAUGUACUUGGACAAAUGUAUUUUAACCCCCACACGUGCGAUGGUGCGGUGUGUGUUGGUGCAAAUUCUUCUGUCGGGUGUUGGUGAUUCACUUCAAAUCACCCGGAUGGAGGCCUGGCAAACCUCUGUCUCAUAUCAGCCACAUGGUGAUUUACAUCAUUCACCCAGACGGGAGACCUGACGCAUUCCCGUAAAUAAACUCAAUGAACUCCCAUCUUGUAAUUAGCCAGCGAAAGGGUAUGUCACCCCAUAAGGGGCUGUAUAACCCUGUCGUGUGUAAACAUGUGCGAACAUGUGCGAUCACAUGGACCGAUGAUGAUGAUGAUGAUUGUUAACUUUUAUGUUUUAUUGUUUGAAUUGCAAGUUACAGCAAUGGUAAAUGACCCUGAAGAGGUGAACACACGCCUGUACAUUGGAGGACUUUUCUGUGAAGUGACAGAGACAGAUCUGUAUGGACGGUUUGAGAAGUUUGGAGAGGUGUCAUCUGUGGACAUAGUUAGAAGGAGAGAUGACAAAGGCAAGCCAGAGAGGACAUUUGCCUUCGUCAAUCUAACUGCAACUGACCAAAAG